rnacentral:lncRNA from 1 species
CCUUUCACUAAACAAUGUCCAAAUUAUUGAAGCCAUGUCAACAAUCACAGCAAUUUCCAAAGACCAAAUCGCUUGUGAAAUGUGCACCACUUGUGAAAACCCAUGUCAACCUAUUUUGCCUCCAUCACCACCACCACCAUCACCGUCACCUCCGCUUUUAUGCCCUCCUCCACCAUCACCACCACCACCACCGUCACCGCCUCCUCCACCACCGGUCAAUUAUUGUCCACCACCACCUCCACCACCGGCACGACGUUCAUGCCCGGAAGAUUGCUCUCUACAACCUCGUUCACCACCUUAUUCCAUAUAUCCUUAUUUUUCGCCACCUUUAGCUUACUCUAAUAAAU